UACGGGGGGAGCAAGCGUUGUUCGGAUUUACUGGGCGUAAAGGGCGCGUAGGCGGGAUGGCAAGUCGGUCGUGAAAGCCUUCGGCUCAACCGAAGAACGUCGGCCGAUACUGCCAUUCUUGAGGGAUGCAGAGGAGACUGGAAUUCCCGGUGUAGCGGUGAAAUGUGUAGAGAUCGGGAGGAACACCGGUGGCGAAGGCGGGCUACUGGGCCGAUACUGACGCUGAGGCGCGAAAGCUGGGGGAGCAAACGGG
rnacentral:rRNA from 1 species